GGAACAGCUUCCUGUCAAAUAAGCCAAUGCUACUGGACGAAUUGACCUUGACAUGACUGCUGUGAUGCCAAAAGCCACAAGCUAACUGGUAACAAUUGUUAGCAGGUAGAAGAUCCUAAUGAAACCAGGCGCUCCACAUGGUAGACAGCAUCUUGUGAGUCAGCCUUCUCCACCACUGUAACUUCGGACAGGCCAAGGAACUGAGGGACUUAACUGCAAUGACCUGUACAUGAGUGAUGUGUUUAAUGGAUGGUGACCAGAGGAAAAGCCAUGGUUGAGUGCUGGGGCUGGCCAGACCUUGGAGCCGGGGCUCGGCAGUCUGUGGGGUGGCACCUGAGGUCCCUGCUAAUGAACACGCCGUGGGGCUGCGUUCAGGUGGGUGCCAUCUGUGUUUUCCAUUCCCUGACAAGGUCUGUCUUUAUCCUUCUAUUUGGAUAAUCCUUUGAAGGACUAAGACAUGGGUGAUGUUACAUAUAGGUCCUUUGUAACCAUGUAUUUACUUAAAUGCUACUGUUUAAGCGUGUCUUUUCUGUGUUUUCAAUAGUAAAGGAGUUCCUCAGACCCUAAAUGGGGUACUUGGGAACAUAAAGCAGACCAGAUGUGUCUUCUUCCAUCCCAGGUGCAAUGUACUGGUGCCCCUCACGCUCCCCGCAGAGGGGCUUGAUCGGAUUUCGGGAAUUAGCGCUGCCUCUCGUCCCUGCAGCCCGGGUUCUGGGGCUGGAGAGAAACCCUUUGCAAAGCACCUUUGUAGGUGAACCGAGGCGGGACCGAGACAGCGGGUACCGCGCUCCCCACCGCGCACCGUGUGUUCGCCCGGCGGUGG